UAGCUCAAUAAAUUACUUCAAAAAGGCCAUACUCUAGAAACCCUGAUCAACCUGAACAUGUUAAACCUUUUUUUUUUUCAGUACUGUAUUUUCACCUUCAAAAAGGAUAUGAAGCCAUAAAGAAAAAGACAGAAAAGUUAUAGAUAUGAUGAUGGUAAUGUACUGAUGUAACAGGAACAAAGAGAUAAAAGUGAGAGAUGUAAAACAAAUGUCCUAUUCAAAGCAAUCCAUGUCACCCUUAAAAAGGCAAUUUUCUUUUUUACCUCUUUUCCAUUCUCUUUUGAUAAAACUUUGAAUAUUAUUGAUGGUUUACAAAUUUUCUCGAUUCUUGAAACUUUGUCCUCAAUUUGUGAGCUUGAAGCAUUCACACAGACACCAGAUACAAUACUGACAUGUCUGAUACCGAACACAUCUUAAUCUGAAGUGUUGGUGCUACAUGGGCUGUGAACUCUGGAUGCUAUUGCUAACAUGCGACCGCAUUUUCCAACUAAGAACGGCAAANNNN
rnacentral:lncRNA from 1 species